ensembl:lncRNA LINC02694 long intergenic non-protein coding RNA 2694
UUUUUUAGAAGUGAAAUCAGGUUACGAAGAGCACUAAGGCAGCUUUGAAGGGGAAGUCCUGAGAGAACAGGCUGCAGCUUCGGGGUGGAGACACCAGACCUGAAAUGAAUGCUAGAGGCUGGCUGAGUUGCAACAAAAGAGCAGGGAAUCUUUUAAUAGUGAAUGUCAAUAGGCAGCAGGCCAUCUCCAUGCCUUCUGCCCUCUUUGUCUUUACAAACACCAUAAGGCGCAUCCUUUGAUACACCUGACCGGUACUCCUCAGAACUGUCAAGGUCAUCAAAAACAAGGCAUGCUGUGUUUUCUUAACCUUCUCCAUGGCUGUCUUGGCCUGGCCCUCUGGACUGCUCCAACUUUGCUGUUCAUUGUGAUCAUUGGAUCUAUCUGAUUUUUGACAGCUACACAUCAUCAUCUGUCCUCUAUUCCCCCUACCCCCACUGGGUAGCAGGGUGAUUGUGAUCAUCUCUAUUGCUAUCAGUUAGCUUAGUUCUGUGUUCUGUGAUCACCUUUUC